CGGGGAGCGUGCGGCGCCGCGGGGCCCCGGCUCCCGCUCCCGGCGGGGUCAGGCCCCGCGGUAGCGCGUCAGCGCGCCCCUCGGUACUUCUUGCACUUUUUCGUGUAUUCUCUAGGUCCCUGCGCAGUACGAGUUAGGGAUGAUGGUCCGUUAACCGCGCGCUACCACACACAAAGGCAUCGUCCUCCCAGCUGUUGAGAAACCGUGAGAACUGGUGCCCACAUAAAAGGACUGGGGUGGUUUGGGCGCGGGUGCUUUUACUCCCUCUGUGCAUCGUGCGUCGAUGCGGCAGACCUCCGCAACGCUCCUGCGAGCGCGAGGAGUGGGCCGGUACUCCCGACCUUCCCAGUGCGUGACGCCUGCCCGCUCCUGGCGUAGUAAGAAUGGUUUCUGGCCAAAGCCUGUGACAGCAGGCUUCCUUCUGCGUCCGAGCUCUGCAGAUCUGUGACGUGCGGGUGGACCCCAACUCCGCCACUGGCCUAUUUCUGCGUGGGCUCUGGGGUAAACUUCGCUGUGAACCACCUCUUAGACAUCAACACGGCUACAGGCACAAAAGAGCAGGAGGCCCUAGACUGGGAUGUUAGGUCUUCUUACUUGAUCUGCUUGACCUUUUUUACAUAGGUUUCUUGCCUAAUUCAAAUGUAUUAGACAAGAUGUCCCCCUUCUCAUUAAAGGAGUAAUGGAUAUUUCUAA